CAGCAGCCACGGGAAUACCAGCAGCCCAAGUGGUGGUCGCGAUUAUUGGGCCUAAAGCGCUCGUAGCCGGGCCGGUAAGUCCCUUGUGAAAUCGGACGGCCUAACCGUUCGGCGUGCAAGGGAUACUGUCGGUCUUGAGGCCGGGAGACGUCCGAGGUACUCCGGGGGUAGCGGUGAAGUGUUCUGAUCCUCGGGGGACCACCGGUGGCGAAGGCGUUCGACGAGAACGGGCCUGACGGUGAGGGGCGAAGGCUAGGGGAGCAAACGGGAUUAGAGACCCCGGUAGUCCCUGUCUCUUAUA
rnacentral:rRNA from 1 species